rnacentral:lncRNA from 1 species
GGAAUGUGUUUGCCAGAACAAUGCGGGAGUUGCAGAGAGAGGUGUCCUGUGUUUGUUCCCAGUCUUCCUUCACUCACCUGCACCUGCUCCUGCCCUGCUUCGGCCAACAUGUUCUAUGCAGGGUGGUUUUGCUGAUGAGACAGCUGCAGUUUGGGGAGUGUGAUAUCAAGGAAAGCAGUGUCUUGAGUCUGUCACUUUCUCUCUCUGUCCCAUUGGGCAUUAUAGUAUACAUAGCCUUGGAAUCAGAAGACCAAGAACAUACAAGAGAACAUAGCCUUGGAAUCAGAAGACCAAGAAACAAUUUAACUCUGCCCCUCUAGAGCUCUGAGAACUUGGGCAAGCCUUUUACCCUCUGUGAGUUUCAGUUUCCUCAUUUAUUUAAUUGAAAUAAUAAUACAGAUCACCUGAAAUGUAAUGAAAAUUAAACAUCCUUAUGUAGGUGAAACCAACUGGCAGCAUGCCUGGAAUAUAGUGAGUGCUCAUUCGGUCUCUUGUAUUUUCUUUCUAUACCCUACUUCUGUUCCCUUGGAUUCAUAUACCUGAAUUGGAAACACCCAAAGUCAAAAAGAAUAAGAAAAAUCUUUAGAAAUGUAGCAUAUUACCAAGAUCUGCAAAUUUCUGCCCAGAGCAGAUGGUUCUAAUAAAGAAAGUCGGAUCUUA